rnacentral:rRNA from 1 species
UACAGAGGUCCCAAGCGUUGUUCGGAUUCACUGGGCGUAAAGGGUGCGUAGGUGGUGAGGUAAGUCGGAUGUGAAAUCUCCGGGCUCAACCCGGAAAUGGCAUUGGAAACUACCUUGCUGGAGGAUUUGAGGGGGGAUUGGAAUACUUGGUGUAGCAGUGAAAUGCGUAGAUAUCAAGUGGAACACCAGUGGCGAAGGCGAAUCCCUGGAAAAUACCUGACACUGAGGCACGAAAGCUAGGGGAGCAAACAGG